UACGUAGGGGGGCAAGCGUUGUCCGGAAUUAUUGGGCGUAAAGCGCGUGUAGGCGGUCCGGUAAGUCGGCUGUGAAAGUCCAGGGCUCAACCCUGGGAUGCCGGUCGAUACUGCCGGACUAGAGUUCGGAAGAGGCGAGUGGAAUUCCCCGGUGUAGCGGUGAAAAUGCGCAGAUAUCGGGAGGAACACCAAUGGCGAAGGCAGCUCGCUGGGACGUUACUGACGCUGAGACGCGAAAAGCGUGGGGGAGCAAAACAGG
rnacentral:rRNA from 1 species